GGAGACACUGGGAUGGGCUGAGGGGGCACUGGGAGGGAGAGGGGAAAGUUUUUUGCCCCUUUCCUGGGCACUUGAACACCCUCUGCACCCCCGUUCCUGGCCGUGCCGGCUGUCCUUCCCCCCAAGCCAUGAACAGGUUUUGGGGCUCCCUCGUGGGUCGCAGCCAAUAGAACGGCUCUGCUGGAAUGACGUCAUUGCCAAAUUCUGCUGGGCCCCUGUCCUUGUGCCGCAGGGUGUGGUGGAAGAAAAAACCAAUUGGGAAAGAUAUGUGGCAUGGAGAAGCAUCUAUGGGAACUAGAUGGACUUUUAUACACUGGACAAUUCAUCCACUGGACUGACAGUUGUUCCCCAGUUUUACCCCAGUUUAUUGCUGUAUUGUCAUGGAGUUUUAUGUACCCCAGUUUACUGUUGAAUUUUUAUGAAGUUUGUUAUACCUCCAUAUUGUUCCCCUUUCUCCCUCAGAUUUUCCUGCCCAAAGUUGUUUGUCACCCUGUCCUCCCCUGCUUUCCCGCCCCUCUGCCACUGAUUGGCUACAGUUUGCUGCAGUGCAAAGAGAGCCCCCAUUGGCCCUUUCUCCUGGAGACUCCGAAGUUCCACCCGCCUUUUCCCUGUCUCCCUAUCACACUUUUCCCUGAGUUGUCAGUUCCAUGCUCCUCCCCAGUUCAGAAUCCUCCCCUCAGACUUACCUUAUUUAAAACCCUGUUGUCCCUGAAUAAAGUGGCAUUGCUGCACGAACCCU